rnacentral:lncRNA from 1 species
UUUCUUUGGAGAUUAGCUAAACGGAUGCUGGCAACAUUUGAAUCCAUAGCUGAGAUUGCAAAUGGCGAUAAAAUGGGUUGAUAUAAAGUGGUAGGUCCUCCACUGCAACUUUCAACUCCAUUUUGAUGAGUAAAUGAAGCAAAAAUUGUGUUUUUCCUUUUGCUUUUCUUUAAUUUAUGGGUGGUUUACUUCAUGUGUAGUUUCUUGAUUUUGGGCGCUUAGGGUUUUAAUUUUGUUUGUUUAAUGUUCUGAAUUUUGAAUUGGAAUUUGGGUUAAAGGAAGGGCUUGAACAAUGUGGACAGUUGAAAAACAGAUCAUCAUAAGCUUCAAUUUUGUGUUUUUUUGGUAGAUGGCAAGAUCAUUGCAGUUAUUGAGUAACAAAUUCCACUAAUAAGAUUUGCGUAGGAU